GGGAGGUGGCGGCCGCCCUGAUCCCACCCCGCGGGCCUCCCCGCCCGUACCUCGGAGAACCACUGGCGAGCGGCCGGCCCCCUUUGGCUCACUCGGCCUCAGCCGCAGAGGGGAGGCGUCUUUCUCUGCAGCCCGGGGGCUCUCCGAGAGCCUCCUAGCAGCCUCUCCUCCCCCGGCGGAAUGGGAGGGGGGCUCGGGGCGUGGGGGGCAGGGGACGCAUGCUGUGGAAGAUGCUCUCCCCGAGGAAAAUGCAGUGGGCAAGGGGACAGGGCGACAGGCGCAGGUGAAGGCCCUGCGGCCAGCGGAGGCCGGCGCUCUAGAGGGGCUCCAGCCGCACCCGGGAAAUCUAAAAGCAGAUGGGGCGGGGGUUCUGCGCGCACAGCUGCCCGGCCCUCGAGACUUUCUCAUCCUCAACUUGACGCUCUGGAAAAUGGAUCCAGCUGCUCCUAUGAGGUGUCUCCGCAAGCAGGAGCUGCCUGGAAACCAGAGGGAGCCCUGUGAAACAGCCAGGGUGGGGGCUCCUUAUGCUCCAUUUCACAAAGGAGGAACCAGAGCUGAGAGAGAGGGAGAGAGGAAGAAGAAGAAAGAAGAAAGAAGAAGAAGGAGGAGAAGGAGAAGAAGGAGAAGAGAGAAAGGAGGAAGGAGAAAGGAGGAAGGAAGAAGAAGGAAGAAGUUAAGAAGAAGAAGAGGUGGAGGAGGAGGAGGAGGGG
rnacentral:lncRNA from 10 species